UAUCUCUGUAGAGUCUGCAUAUCAAUAAGCGGAGGAAAAGAAACUAACUAGGAUUCCCUCAGUAACGGCGAGUGAAGCGGGAAGAGCUCAAAUUUGAAAUCUUCAAGGUUUUACCUUGACGAAUUGUAGUUUAAAGAAGUGUUUUCUGUUGAAGUUUUGGUAAAAGUUCUUUGGAAUAGGACAUCAUAGAGGGUGAGAAUCCCGUAUUUGACCGAUUACUUUCAGCUGUUGUGAUACACUUUGAAAGAGUCGGAUUGUUUGGGAAUGCAGUCCAAAAUGGGUGGUAAAUUUCAUCUAAAGCUAAAUACUGGCGAGAGACCGAUAGCGAACAAGUACCGUGAGGGAAAGAUGAAAAGAACUUUGAAAAGAGAGUUAAACGGUACGUGAAAUUGUCAAAAGGGAAGCGUUUGACACCAGUGUUGUUUUCUCGAAAAUCAAUUAAAAAUGGCUUGAUUUUGUGUUGUAUUGACCUUAUAAGCUUUCUUCACUUUUUUCAUGUCUUUUUUAAUGCACUUUUCGUUUAACAAGUCAACAUCAGUUUCUUUUGUUGUAAAAGGGUCAUUGGAAGGUGGCUUUCUUUUCGGAGAAAGUGUUUAUAGCCUUUGGCUUCUGCAAUCGGAGAGAUUGAGGUCUGCAGCGUAGAUCCUUCGGGGUUAGAUACAUUUGUGCUAAGUUAUAGCCUUUCAUAGACAACUUGUUGACUAUGAUCAGUCAUGUAGCUUACUCGCUUAUGCUAUUUUACCUACGCUUAGGAUGUUGAUCUCUCACAGUCGAGC
rnacentral:rRNA from 1 species